AGAAAAUUUCAAAUUUGACUCGCAUGAGGCUAAUGUAAAAAAUGGGUAUGCUAAUUGAGUCUUCAAGGGAACAGCCAAUGGUAAAAGCUUAAGUUCAUUUCCAGUUCUGGUAUACCAAAGCCAAAAAGGCUAAUUCCUUGAAAUUUGAGUAGCUUGUCAAUCAAAGUUAGAGAAUGAGAUUCAUUUCGUAUGACAAGAUAUGAGUAGAGAAGUAUAACACAACUUAUUAUUUUGUCAAAGCUUUGCUACCUGUGAGGAUUUCUUUGUCUUUCACACUGAUUGAAAUCCAUUGGCUCCACUUUUACUUCUAUCUCAUUUUCUCUGAGAAUUCCCAAAAUUAGUCACUUCAUUUGGAGAACCCGCUCUUAAUCUGGUCACUUUAAUUAUGACCUAUUGAGUGUAGAGCUGCGAGCUUCUGUGCACAUUCUCAAGAAUUCCUUUUCUUGACAAGUUUUAUUCUGCAAUUCCUUUUAUACAUCUUCUAAAUUCAUUAUUCACUGAAGCCAGUAAGUAAAGCUUGAAGCAGAGAGGGUUUGCCCAUACUACCUGCCUGAUUGUUUUCGGACAUAGAGGAAGUAGCAGCUUUUGUGGUGGCAAACUUACUCUCUUCAAUUUUCCCCCAAACGACCAGAUACAAUCCGGCAAUAAUUAGCGUAGCUCCAAUGAGUCCUCCCAAGUAGAAUUCUUCACCUAAAACAACGGACGCCAUUAAAGCUACGAGCAUAGUCUGCACAGGCAGAUAUCCUGAAACAAAAACUGGACCACCCCUCUGUAUGACCCAUAUUUGAAUUGCAAAUCCAAUCCCUGAAACAACCAAUCCCGAAUAAAGAAUGCUGAAGAGUUCACCACCAGAGUGAACCUGCCAUGUCUGAGGAUCUCUCUCAAUAUAGGCUGCAACUGCCAACAAUUGCAGGGUGCCAAAGAAGCAAGUAAACGAAUAAACUGAGAAUGGAGCAGGGUAUUUCUUCAAGAAGAUUGCUUGUAAUACUAUCCAGCUGGACCAACACAAGCAAUGGCCAAAGCAAGAUAUACAACCCAAGGUCCAAUUCUUUACAUUGGCAUCUCCUAAUGAGAACAAUAACUGUGUUUGGUCUGGAGAUGAAUUUGGCCUGUAAAUGGAUGGUCCCUUGUAGAGGGUUAUGACUGAAGCUCCAAUAGAGGAAGUUAGAGAGCCAACUACCUUAGCUAUGCCAUCUUUCCUGCUCAAGUGAACCUGCUCUAAUCUGAGUAAGGUAGCCAAGGUAAAGGUCACAGCAGGCACGGCAUUCUCUGUAGCAGAAGCGAAUGUGGGUGAGGUAUUAUCCAAACCUAAUAGGUAGAAUCCUUGAUUUGAUGCUAUUCCAACAAAUCCAAGGAUGAAGAAUUGCAUUAGAAAAGAAGUGGUCAGUGCUGGCCUGUCUUUCCUGCGACAAAAACCAACAUAAAAGCAAUUGAAAAAUUCAUGAAAACACUCACAACUUAGCUUAACCACAUACUUCUCUAGGAAAUAAGCAACGGGAGCCAGCAGAAGCAGUGCAGUGAUAUUCCUAUAAACAGGGAAAACAAGCUUGCUUAUGCCCAUGUUAAGUGCAGCUCUUAAAAUGACAUGGUUCCCCGCAUAUCCAAACUGAAAGAUUGUCAUGGCUAUUUGCAGCUUGGUGCGCUCAGGCACCGCACACAUCCUGUUGGUGGGUGCUGAACCAGGUUCAGCCAUUGAAGCAGACCGAGGAUGUGAAAAGAAAGAGUCAAAAGCAAGAGCUAAUACAGGGUUGCCCCUUGAGAGUCAGAGAAAGGCACCAAAGAACUAAAGAUU
rnacentral:misc_RNA from 1 species